CUGUGAGGAGAAGGAAAUGUUAGUGCUUGGAGGGGCUGCCUACAAGAAAUCUCAAGGAGCUAAGCAUGAGAACGAAUCUCUCAGAAGGCUGUGGGCAAAGGCUGAGAAGGUUCCUGUGGGCUUCUGUAAAGCAGCAAGAUGAAAAUCAAACGGGAGAACGCAGAGCACCACAUAAAGUGAUUCAAAGAAACACUGGCGCCUCCUAAUUUGGAAGAAAAAUGCAAAACAUAAACGUUAUCAUCUUUCUUAGAGGAAAAAACUUGUGCUACCAUGCUGGAAAACUGGUAGUGAGCUGGCCUAGCAAGUUUCCACUGUGAUGGCCAGUUUCACCCUAAUUUGGGGAGAAAAAAAAUUGAGUGCAAAGCAAGUGUUCAACAGACAGAUCCUGAGCUACCAGUCAGCAUGUGCAGACUUCUCAAUAUUGAAAUAGUGCUCCCACUCCAAGUGUAUCCUGAAAACAAGGAUCCAAUACAGCUUUCAUCAGAAAGCAGAGCAAAGAGCUAUCUAAUGUAGCCAGAAUUAAAAAGUGAAUUCUCGGAUCCCCAGGUGUGUGCAUCAAUGUCUGUGUCUACCCAAGCAAGUGAUUUAUUUCAUGCAUAUGCAGUACAUGAAAAAGUAAAGUAAAACAAGCACAUGCAAGGGGACGGGGAGAGUCCUAUGCUCCAAAUAUCCAGAUCCAGGACAGUGACAUUUCACUGGACUAGCAGACAGGUGGGCUCACAGCUGAGUGUCCCACUUUUGAGCAGACAUCUAGGCAGAGCAGUUCCUACUGUGUGACUGUUCCAACUCAGGCCAUGCACGCUAAGGCAGCUAGGAUCACAUGGCCAGGAAGCAAAGCAACAUCCACUAAAAGAAGAUCUGUUUUGGGAUCUCUGACACCAGCCUCAGUGGUUGAGCAGUUACAUCUGCUCACCAGCAAAACAUGGGUGUGCAGGGCAGAAAGUGAUGCGGCUGGAUGUGAGCACAAGGAAGGAUCUGUUUGAGGA